GGUCCGUUAGCUCAACUGAAUAGAGUACCACACUACGGAUGUGGGGGUUGCAGGUUUGAAUCCUGCACGGAUCA
rnacentral:tRNA from 1 species